UACGGGGGGAGCAAGCGUCGUUCGGAUUUACUGGGCGUAAAGGGCGCGUAGGCGGCCACCGCAAGUCGGUUGUGAAAUCUCCGGGCUUAACCCGGAAAGGUCAAUCGAUACUGCGGGGCUAGAGUGCAGAAGGGGCAACUGGAAUUCUCGGUGUAGCGGUGAAAUGCGUAGAUAUCGAGAGGAACACCUGCGGCGAAGGCGGGUUGCUGGGCUGACACUGACGCUGAAGCGCGAAAGCUAGGGGAGCGAACGGG
rnacentral:rRNA from 1 species